rnacentral:miRNA from 1 species
UUGUGUGGUCUCUCUCUCUGUGUCAAAUAAAUCAAUUAUAUAUGUAUAUAUGUGUAUAUAUAUAUAUAUAUACACACACACACAUAUACACACAAAU